GGAUGUGAGGGCUAUCUGGCUGAGGCAUCUGUAACCCCAUUGAUUGCCAGAGUUGAUUUGGCUGAUCUGGCUGGCUAGUUGGGAGUCCCCUUCCUUCCUCACCGAUUCAUGUUUGUCCCUUCCAAAGCUUUGUGCUUGGUCGAAGAGGACGGCUUUCCCUGAAUAGAGAAGGACUGGUCUUUAGUCGAGGGUAUACAAGUAGCUGUGCUCCCCUGCUAGAACCUCCAAACGAAAAAAAAAAUGAGUAACAUCUUUUAACUGCAACUAAAUUUUCAUCAAUUUUAAGCUACAUCAUGACCAUCUGGUAAAAGCU
rnacentral:snRNA from 1 species